CUUGAUAUACGCAAUACCCAAUUUGUCUCGGUCGCCAAGACAACAGUUUUGAAUACACCAUUGCACAUACUGCGUGAACCGAUCGGCAUUUUGUAAUUUUAAUAGCGCGUGGCCUAUUUUUGAAUGGGUAUUGUGAAUGAAAUUCAAUAUAGUAACUAAGCAAUUCAACACUCAACAAACAAGGCAAAUCAAUUCAUGAAAUGUCGCGCUUCGUAAUCCAUCAUCGCAACACAGAAAAUGGGACACGACAAAAGAACUAACAAUUCAAAGACAUUGGGUUCCGAGAUCUGGAGUCAGAAGACUUUGAGUUGUUAUGCCAACUAAAUAAAAAAUGAUAUAGUUCAAUUUAGAAUAGAAAUUAGAAUGAAUGCAAACAGAACGAGACGGUAGGCAAAAUACACAGUUGCAGUAUUUAUAAAAUCUGUGUUACUAUUUCAUCCCUGAAUCAAGAUAUUCGUCAUAGAACCAAUCGACACAUAAAAGAAAUAAAUGAUAGGAUCCACACAACGUUAAUUACAGGAAUUUGUCGAAUAUUGCCGACUACAGGAUCCACACAACGUUAAUUACAGGAAUUUGUCGAAUAUUGCCGACUACAGGAUCCACACAACGUUAAUUACAGGAAGUUGUCGAAUAUUGCCGACUGAUUUCCCUCUACAACACAGCGAAUAUUAGCUACAGUGACACGCUUGACUGAUGCCUAUAAAUACAGUAAAAUGAUCAACUCGUUUUAUAGUGUGCAGUUAUUGUGAAAUACAUUGUCAAUAGUUACACGCUUUACGCUCGUAUCUGUUUACCUGUAGCAACAAACGUAAUGUUUAAAUAAUAAAAUAUAUAAAUCAUUCAUUUGGAUGAGAUCAAUGAUAGCUUGUAUUGGAGACGAUAAGACAGGUCAUAUAAGGAAACUGUCAUUAUAUUUAAACAUGCCACUGUAUGUGAGUUAUAGUCAACGGAUAAUCUGGAUACUAACUAGCUACUGCUCUUUGUUGGGAUAAAACCUAGGACGAACAGUGUUCAUUGUAAUGGUCAUAAAAUGAAGUCUCUAGUGGUUUUAUUAAUUUGGAUUGUAAUGAAUAUAUCAGCUGUAAGCAUGGCAGAAUGCGAUGAUGCGGCCGUAUUUAAUUGUUUACCAAAUCCUGGUAUCAGGAGGAUAACUAAAUCGGAAGCUUGUGGGUUGAUGGGUGAAAUUAAAUCUUGUUUACAACAAAUCCGUUGCCCUCCAUCAACUUUCCAGAUAGUAAAUGACGCAUUUGUCCACAAGUGGUCCAUACAAUGUGAUUACAGAUAACCGUCCUUGCUAUAAGACAUAAGCAUUCGUCAACAAGUUAGUUUUUCUGAAUGACAGAAGUGUGACUCCUGAUUUCUGGCAAUCGAAUCUAAACGAUACCUUUAUUUCCUUUCUUUUAUGAUAAUCUAAUUAUCUACCCUAAUACAACCAACAAGAUCAGUAGUAAAUUUUCGAUCAGCCGAUAAUGUCACUAAAAAAUAUGAAACAAGAACGCCACGGCUCCACCCGAUUUUCGCUGUUUGUUGAAAUUCUACGCAAACGAGAUCAUUGCAACAAGAAGAUAUGUUGGCCGAACAAUGGUUUUGAAAUCUUAAACUUGUUUGCGUUGAAUUUCAACAAACGGCGAAACAUUUUAUACGGACAUCCAAUCAGUAUUUCGCUAACGAUCACGUGGUACAGAAAUAAGAUAAUGUGGCGCCAGUAUAAACUUUGAAUUUUUAGUUAGAGGAAUGAAAUAAGAAUACCUUAAUGAGGCGUCAAUAUUAACUUUGUAUUUUUAGAAAAUUAAAUUCUAAAAAUUCUACAUCGCAUUUAGCGUUAAUAACGGAGUAAAGAAAAUAGUAAAAUGAGUUGGUAAUACUAUGCUCGAUGUAAACAAACCAUGUAUAACAAUCAGUUUAGUGGUGUUUAAUAGUUUCGAUUGCCUUGGCUACUUACCGUUUGUACUGCAAUUCGAUUGUGGAUGAUAAUGGAUUCUUAAUAUCAUCUUCGUUAUUCCGGUAGAAGUAGGACAUUAAACCCCAUUUCAUUCCAUUCUUAGUAUCAUGUUUUGCAAUGUAAUCGAUGAUUUUCAACAUUUGUAACAUAAAUAAUCCGCUUUGUUAUUGACGAUCCGAUGUGGCGUCACUCCCUUAAAGGUCACACCAUUUUCUGGCAAGGGACAGUCUCUAGUCGUUUGGGUGGGAAGGAAAUCCGAGGUCCCGUUUACACCUGUGUGCACAUAAAAUAACUCUUAAAGGAGAAAUGUAAUCCCCCCCCCCCCCUUAUAACACACUGUGUGGCUUAUGUACAUCUUCAUUAUCCCCGGGGGGGGGGGGGGUGGAUGGCUGAAUGGUUAGCGUGUGCGCGCUGUAUCAUAAAGUCUGUCAUUGAGUCGACUGGCGUGGUUUCGAAUCCCCGGUUGUACGUGGCAAGGAGUAGGGUCGCCUGUCCAACCUCGUGGGUUUUCUCCGGGUCCUCCGGUUUCCUCCCACUCCUAAAGACCCCUACGCGCAAGCAAAUUAUGUAAAUAAAAUUAAACCAUAUGUUAGUCCCGAAAUGACCUAGUUUGUGUCGAGUGGACGUUAAACCCCAUUUCUCUCUCUCUCUCUCUCUCUCUCUCUCUCUCAUUAUCCCCGGUAGGUGCAGAAAUGUAGGACGUUAACACCCAUUUCAUUCGUUCACACUAUAGGGGUAAAAGAACACUUUCGCGGUGGAGAUGGGUGAAACAAAAUAUAGCCGUUCAAACUAAAUGUGUUAUGGACUAGAUUACAAUGGGUGUAUAUAUGAAAUGACGUGAUCGGACUCGCUGUGUUUUCAUCGUCUGUUGAGUGCCAAAAACAAUUUCUUGAUAUGCGAACUUUGAAUAUAAAUUGAGUACAGUUCAUUAUUUUAUUUAGACCUUUAUGGCCUACUGUAUAUUUCAUUAUUGUAUAUUGUGUAAUGUGUUUUCAUCAUUUUAAGCUAUGCAUAAUUAUAAAGUGGGCCUUAACACCUCUUAGUGAAAGACAGAAAGAGCCAUGCAAACGUUUCAAGAACAAUAAUUAUAUGGACAAAUAAUGUGUGUAUGUAGUUCCUUCUAGAAACCAAACAUUGGAUUUAGAGUGUCGUCAACACAAUUUUUCUUUCACGUUGAGUUAUUAUGUCCCUGAAAGAAAGAACAAUACCGUUCAUUUCAUCACUAGAAACCAUGCUUAUAUCCUUCGAAAAGUGUUGAAUUUACACUUCUGUUAGCGACGAACAUUCAACUAUAAACUAAAGAGAGUAGACCUCGAGUGUCGUCAGCACAAUAAUUCUUCUUUCACAAAUUUAAGUGAAAAUGCUUUUCAUUUAAUCACGGGUGCCCUUGGUGAUUUCGUUCGACGGGCUUUGAAUUUACCUUUUUCUGUGAGCUUUGAUCACUAUUAUAUAUGAUUUUGAGGCUGAAGCGUCGGUGGGGGGUGACCUGUGAUACAAUAAGGUUCAUUUCACCUCGUGUAGUAAUCAUAGAUGUCAAUUGGGAACAUCCUUCAAGAAUGUUUGUUCUUAUGGAUGUAAUGAUUUGCGGGGACAUGGUGUGAAAUUAUGAACGAAGUCAGUGGACGCUCCAUAUAAUAUGGGGUAACAUGUGGAAGCAUCAUGUAUUUGGUUUACCAUGGACAUCGCGAGACGCACAAACUGAAAAGUAGAAUCCUAGUAAACAUGUAACUAUCCGCUCUACAUUCCAACGUAACCAAAUAUCCGAGCUAUUUUGGAGUUACGUCCCUUCGCCUGAUAUUGGUGCUUGAUUUCUGUUGGAUAAAUAUGAACGAGUUUUGUUAUAUGCAAUUGUUCUCAAAAGAUCACAGAAAUAAAAUAUUCUUUUAAAUUGUAAUAA